rnacentral:piRNA from 1 species
GACACUGACCAGCUCCUGGACCUUGGGGCA